GGUAUAGGCAUGCAAAAUAUGCUUUCCAGGUGGAGCAAGAUUUGGACUGAGCACACUAGGCACAGAUAUCAGCACGACAUUCUGAUCAGCAUCAACCCCUCUGUCCCAGUCAUUUACUAUUAUAUGAUGGAUUCCCAGGUCAUCACGUAUGCCCUGAACAUCCAUUAUUUGGACUGAGCACACUGGGCACGGAUAUCAGCACGACAUUCUGAUCAGCAUCAACCCCUCUGUCCCAGUCAUUUACUAUUAUAUGAUGGAUUCCCAGGUCAUCACGUAUGCCCUGAACAUCCAUUUCAAUGGACACAAAAGAAUUCAUGAAACGCGACACCCAGAGACAUGUUUUAAUGGCUAUGAAGCAAUGUCAAUCAGAAAAAAAAGGAAAUAUCUCCACAACCCACCCACAAGAGGAAGAGCAUAAAAGAAUGGAACAAGCAGAAUAGUACUAACAUAAUUAUCUCAAAAACGAUCUUUCUAAUCAUUAUAUCAUAUGAUUGGAUAGUC
rnacentral:lncRNA from 1 species